CUUUAACAUCAGCUGGUAUCGAUCAGACCAGAUUACCACGGCAACAGAGAAAGCGCCACAGUGCUUUACACAGUGCAGACGCCGGUUGUUCCACUGCAGCGAAACUAGACGGUCAUUGGAUAAAUGCUGGCCCCCCACAUCGGACGCUCAGCGUCUCUGGGGUCUAUGGAGCAGUGGGCUGGCCCGGACGCUCGGCUUCUGCAUGAUGAUUGCAUGAUCUGUCUGAAGCUGAGUCCCUUUUUGAUUGACAGCGAAAUGAAGUAUAAGCAUCCACCGGAGCAUUUUUCAAGUUUUUCAUUCCGUUGUUCGGAGUUGAUCUGGAGACGUUACUGAUCCUCGGCGACUUUGUCUUUGUUAAAAACGACCAGCGUUGUGUUUGGCGACUCUCUUCUGUCACUCUGCGAUUUCUGUCCCCAGCGAGCAGCGGCAGCUGCGGAGCCUCUCCCCGCGUCACGAUCACUCACACGCACAGGCGGUCCAGAGGAGGCAUUUCAGAGUGUCCUGAAAAGUUAUGGCCAGUUCUUUGGUUCAGGGAGAUGAGGUCUGCACUUCAAGUCCUGUAUUCAAACCAGGACUUGCAGGACAACUUUUGAAUAUCACAUUUUCAGUUAAACUUUCUCUCUCUAGACAAAAUGAACAUCAUUCUCCUGACUGCCAUCACCUUCACUUUAGCCCCUGUUUGCGGGAGGCAAAGCGUGUUUGAUGGCAACAGCAUGGACUGGUCAGACUUGGCAUCACCCCUCUUACAACCCUGUGAAGGAAGGAGCCACGUGGAUAAGUAUACGGAAUUUGUCGACAGACACAUCCUUCAAGGCUCCUUUGACAGAAGUUCUAUGCAGCAAUGGAAAAGGUAUUUACACAAAAAAGGACUCUGUGGCAGAACUCUGGUGCAGACCUUCAUCGAUGCCAGACUGCGAGCUGUCCAGCAGAUCUGCAGCAGGUCAGGCUGGCGUCUGCAGGGUCACUCAGGUAACUUGUGCAUCAGCACGUCACGCAUGCAGGUGUAUGAUGUCAUAUCUGACCAAAAUUGCACUUUGAAUAGGAUGAUUGUACAACCUGACAACCGGGAAGUGAUUGUGGCAUGUGAUAAUGUUAAUUAUCAGUGCCUCCCUGUCCAUUUUGAGAGAAACAGAGGCCAAAGUCCGAGCAAUAGACCCUGUAUUUGAGUUGGACACUCAGUUUCAGUUGUCAGGUUUAUUAUUCCCUGACAUCUAAAUAUUUCUAUCAAGCUUUGCCAAGUGAUUUUUGCUCAUAAAAAUAUAAAGAAAUAUUGGCAUGUGAUUUUUUUUUUUAAAGCAACACAUUCUUUCUGCCCCCACGAGCAUGUUGUCAGGAUGAAUAUGUGCUGUGCAUAACAGAAAAAAUGUUUUUAUUAUAUAAUGUGAUUUAAAUUGCCAUUCAAUCUUCCUAUUAAGAAUGUUUUCUGCUGUGACAGAAGUACAUUUUAUGCUAAAGCUCAUUUACAACUUAAAGAAAAACUGUAAACUACUGGUACAUAAACGUAAAACCCAAAGUUUUGUUUUCAGAUGGAUUAGAAUUCGCUCGACCACUUGAAAUUAAUUUUUCUGUAAUUUGUAUCAGUUAACUCCUUUUGCAUAGAUUGGUUUUGUCAAACUGUGUUGUAAUCCUUUUUUUGUAAUUGCUUCGUAUACAGUCAAAUUCCUUCUGUCAAAAUGAUUCUCAUGUAAGAUUACUAUCAUGUCUUUCUUUUGGCAAAAAAAAAUGUUUGAAUCUGUGAAAUCUGUGAUUAUUUUAUUCUUUAAGACGCAUAUCAUUAAUGAUAGCUGGUUGCUGAUGCUGUUUUCUGAGUUCAUUUUUGUUCAUGUGAAGAACUGAUAUUUUCUUCUGUGUUCUGCAGAACUCACAAUAAAUACUGCA